rnacentral:rRNA from 1 species
UACGUAGGGGGCUAGCGUUGUCCGGAAUCAUUGGGCGUAAAGCGCGUGUAGGCGGUUCGGUAAGUCCGCUGUGAAAGUCGGGGGCUCAACCCUCGGAUGCCGGUGAAUACUGUCGGACUAGAGUGCGGAAGAGGCGAGUGGAAUUCCUGGUGUAGCGGUGAAAUGCGCAGAUAUCAGGAGGAACACCGAUUGCGAAGGCAGCUCGCUGGGACGUUACUGACGCUGAGACGCGAAAGCGUGGGGAGCAAACAGG